rnacentral:lncRNA from 12 species
CGUGUUUGAAUAAUUCAUCCGUUUCUUGAGGGAGCGUCUUAUGGACACAUCCUCGACUGAGGGCGGCAUCUCUCAGGCCUUGCUCUGUAGCGAGUCGACGACAAUCCGAGUAGACGAUCGCGUCGCCGGAGCACCUGGGGCACCGCCCUGCUCCGGGCAGGGGAAGACAGGCCUUUCACAGGAGACUAGCCAGAAGUUCAUCGUUGUUGGGCUCCACCAUUGGAAGUCCCGACAUGGAAUCAGAGCAAAAGAAAAGAGCAAAUCCAGCUUCUUCUUCCAGUUCCCUCCCCGUGAAUUGGCUUUGGGUUCUGGCAAGUAUUCCUUUCUUCUCUCCUUGGAUGGCUAUGUGAAAUUCAAAUGAAACUUGACUUUUAACUUACACAAAGAUAGAAAACAAUUCUAGGUGGAACCCAAAAGUGGAACCCAAAAAAGUCUUUAUAAAAUAAAAUAGAAAGAUAUCUUCCCGAACUUUGGGAA